ACGUCCUCGUGCGCUUCCUUACGGCUGCCUGUGGGCGCCAUCUUCUAAAGGGGCAGAUUCUCACACCUGCGGCUGGGCCGGGCUGUGGGGCGCGGUCAUCAGCUGCAAAUUAUAAGCCUGAUGAGGUGGGACAGGCAGGAUGGAGAGGAGGAGCAGCCUGGUUCAGCAAAGGUCACGUAGCAGAAGUGGGAAGCGAUGGCUGUUUCUGCAUACCUUGUGAACAUCUGGAGCUGCCCCAGGAUAACCCUGUCUGGAGGGCAGCAAUGAACAUAGAGCUGUACUGUUUUAAUAUCAGAUGGGGCCAGCAGGUACACUGACAAUGGAGAGAUUUGUAGCAGAAUUCCACCAAUUUUCUCCAGAAUGCACAUGCU